rnacentral:misc_RNA from 1 species
CAACCCUCCAGCCCGGCUGGUGUUUGGGCGUCGUCCUCCGGGGCGCGCCUCAAAGACAGGGACGAUGCCGUGUCGCACCCCCGAGCGUAUGGGACUCUGUCGCUGCUCGAACGGGACGACCGGCUCGGUCCAACCAACCCAUCUUUCUCA